rnacentral:lncRNA from 11 species
GUUGUAAUCCAAUAACCGAAACACUCACUUUGCCAAGCAAAGUGAGGGGAGAUGACAAGGUCCUUUAGUCCAUGAAACUUGAGCGAGGCUAGGAAAUAACUUGAUACUUGAAACAAGGCUUGAACGUGGAACAAGGUAACUAAGAACAAGAACAAGGUCCGUGGAAUAACUUGAUAAAAUCCGUGGAACAAGGCAAGGAUUGAUCCUGGGAAACAAGGCAAAGUCCGUAGAUAAACAAAGGCUGGGAAGCAAGGCGAAGGCUGGAUAGCAAGGCAAGGCUUGAGCAGGAGCGAGGCUUGAAUCGGAGCGCGCUGUCCAGACACAACUCGCUCCGUAGGCUGACGAAUUGACUCCGCGAAGUUACUACGCGGGUAAAACACCUAAAUAGAGUCUAACUUUCCCGCCGAAGCAGUUCUCUGGGAAUCAGAACCGAAAGCUAAACUCUGAGACCAGAUGUGAGACUCCCCAAAGAUUCUCACGAGAAGCAGUCUUAAUUGGCCACAUUCUUAGCUGCAAUCCUCGCACUCCUGCGCGAAGCUGAUUCCAAACUUCUCUGUUGUUUACAAAACUCCCGGCGCAAGAACACGGGAGAAGUAGGCUCUGGGCUUGUUUGACAUACUUCUGGGAGACAACUUUCUUGCAGGUGCAAGGUUCCCAGAUCUGCCUGGGAAAGAUCUGGCUGAGAGGAAUCCAGUUCAGACUGGGAAGGUAAAAAACCCAAGUUUUCAUCUUCAUCAGGAAUUACAAUGUCCUGAGCAGGACUACAAGGCCCAUGGGUCAUCACAGGUAGCCAGCUCAGCAUUCUGAGGCAGGUUGCCAUAGUAACGAGGGCGGAGCCAACCGCCGUUUGGAGGAAAAGGAGGGAAUGUUUUAAGAAACAGUUUAGUCUGUGAUCUGAGUCACAGGGAAGACACUGGUUCCAGGUUAGGGAAACCAGAGAAGCUCAGAUCUCUAGUUCUGUCAUAUUAAGCAAGUUAAGUGACUUGUUUGGGUUUAUUCGUAGAGUCUGAGUGGUAAGGGGACGCAAUCCCAGUUAGAUCCAAAGUGAUCAGUUGAUAGCUUUGGUUGUAAGAGAAGAAAAAGGUUUAGACUGCUCAAGGAAAGGAGAAAGUAUUUUGAAAGUAGAUUCAUCAUAGGUUAUAUUUGCAACUGUUGAAGAAAGUUUAACUCUGAGAAGCAACAUUGUAACCACUAAGCUCUGUGCCUGAAUAAACUUUUUAGUGUUCUUCAACAUCCAAGCCUCUGUCACACAUAUUCUAAACUAAGUUACGCUACCA